ensembl:ncRNA T01B7.10 ncRNA
GAGAUUGGAACAAGAGAAACUCUGUGGUCCUCUUAAUAACUAAAAAGAACGAGAGAAAUAUUUAUCCGUGCUCCUUUCCCAACCCCUAGUCAGUCAGCCAUCUCCGGGGACGUUGGCAGCCGCCAUCAAUUAUCUCCUGUUUCUUUUCUGGAACAAAAAAGGAAAAAAGAGAUUUGCGGAGGGCCCACACAUAUAUGAACACAUCAAAUGUUCU